rnacentral:rRNA from 1 species
AGUGAACGCUGGCGGUAGGCCUAACACAUGCAAGUCGAACGGCAGCACAGUAAUAGCUUGCUCUUACGGGUGGCGAGUGGCGGACGGGUGAGGAAUACAUCGGAAUCUACUUUUUCGUGGGGGAUAACGUAGGGAAACUUACGCUAAUACCGCAUACGACCUACGGGUGAAAUCAUGGGAUCUUCGGACCUUGCGCGAUUGAAUGAGCCGAUGUCGGAUUAGCUAGUUGGCGGGGUAAAGGCCCACCAAGGCGACGAUCCGUAGCUGGUCUGAGAGGAUGAUCAGCCACACUGGAACUGAGACACGGUCCAGACUCCUACGGGAGGCAGCAGUGGGGAAUAUUGGACAAUGGGCGCAAGCCUGAUCCAGCCAUACCGCGUGGGUGAAGAAGGCCUUCGGGUUGUAAAGCCCUUUUGUUGGGAAAGAAAAGCAGCAGGUUAAUACCCCGCUGUUCUGACGGUACCAAAAGAAUAAGCACCGGCUAACUUCGUG